rnacentral:rRNA from 1 species
UACGGAGGAUGCAAGCGUUAUUCGGAAUGAUUGGGCGUAAAGGGUCCGCAGGUGGCAAUGUAAGUCUGCUGUCAAAGAAUGAGGCUUAACCUCAUCAAGGCAGUGGAAACUACAUAGCUAGAGUACGGUCGGGGUAGAAGGAAUUCCUGGUGUAGCGGUGAAAUGCGUAGAGAUCAGGAGGAACACCAGUGGCGAAGGCGGCACUCUGGGCCGAAACUGACGCUGAGGAGCGAAAGCGUGGGUAGCAAACAGG